GCUGGUUCCGUGAGUCUGGCCUUAGGUGUCUCGUGUCGGGGGUUAAUCCGAGCUGUCGCCGCCGCCGCAAUGGGCAAAACUGCCGACUCUCCGGGUUCGGGAGCCCGACCCGACCCGGUGCGGAACUUCAAUCGCUGGAAGAAAAAACACAGCCAUAGGCAGAACAAAAAGAAGCAGUUGAGGAAGCAACUGAAGAAACCCGAAUGGCAGGUCGAGCGCGAGAGUAUCAGCCGCCUCAUGCAGAACUAUGAAAAGAUAAAUGUAAAUGAAAUCACAAGAUUUUCAGAUUUUCCCUUGUCCAAAAAAACAUUGAAAGGUUUGCAAGAAGCUCAGUACCGUUUGGUGACUGAGAUACAGAAGCAGACCAUUGGAUUGGCUUUGCAAGGUAAAGAUGUACUUGGAGCGGCCAAAACUGGAUCUGGCAAGACUUUGGCUUUUCUUGUUCCAGUAAGUACAUUGUCAUUGGGUCAGACUGUCUGUUACACAAUUUUAUAACAUUCUGUGCCCAGAUGCAA
rnacentral:sRNA from 1 species